GAGGAAGUAAAUAUUAUUGGUUUGGUAGUUAGAUGUAUUUUAUUUAUUAUAAUAUUAAUUUUUAGGUGAAAUUUAUAAUUAUUAUUUAAUUUUAUUUAUAUUGAAGGUAUGAAAUUGAUGUUAAAAAGGAGGAUUAGAUAGGGUUUUAUUGUGAAUAUAAAAAUUAAGGUGGGUAGUAAUAGAUAUAUUGUUGAAAGGGAAAGGAUUUGGGGGUAUUUUAGUGGUUUGAGAGGAAUGUGUGGGAUAAUGGAGAAUGGAGGAAUAGAUAUAGUUAAUUUUGUAUAAUGAGUUUGUAUAGGUGGGUGAUGAGGGUAUGUUUUUAGAGUUAAUUUUGUUGAAAUAGUAAAUAUUUUAUGUGAGGUGAAGGUGGAAGUUAUAAUUAAGAGGAGAUGGAUUAGAAUAAAUUUAUUUAAAUGGAUUAAAUUAUUUAAAUUUUUAUGAAGGUGGAUUUGAUAGUAAAAUUGUUAUAUUAUUAAUUUGAUUUUGGGUGUAAAAUAUGGAGAGAUGGGGGGUGGGUGUGAUUAUUAAAAUGAGAUAAGUGGUAAGAUAGUAGGUGUAGGGGAAGAUGUAGGUAGUAAGUAAUGAAAUUAGAGGUUGAUAGGAAGGUUUUGAUUUAGAGUGAGAGGAUUAUUGUGGAAUUGAAUUUAGUUUGAUUAAAUUUUAUUGUUAGUAUGUUUUUUAAUUUAAUUUUAGAGAAGUAUGUUUAAUUAUAGUAUAGUAAAGAAAUAAUUUUAUUGGUUAUAGUGAAAUAGUAGGGUAGGGGAAUUAUGAUGAAAAAUUUUUAAAAAUUAGUUUUGUAUAAGUAGAUUUUAUUUAUUGUAGGUUUUGUAUGAGGGUUGAUUAAAUAUUAUUAAUUUAUUGUUAAGUUGUGGAUUUGAGAAGAGGUAUAUUAUAAUUUAUUUGAUGUUAGAUAAUGAUUAAAAAUAUAAGUUAGUGGAGAUAUUGUAUUGGUUUUUAAAGGUAUGUAGUUUUUUAAGAAAUAAAUUUAAUUUAGAUUUUUAAUUUAAUUUAUUAAUUUUUAAUAAAUUAUUUUAUGAAAUUAAGAUUUUAGGGGAUAAGGUGUAAUUUUAUUGUAAAAAUUUAUUUUAUUAAUAAUGUAUGUAGGGUUAAAAGGAUGGAUGAUUAAUAAAUAGGUUAUAGUUUAGAUUAUAAUAAUUAGAUUUUGUUUAUUUUAGUAUUUUAUUAAAAUUUGAAUUUUAAUUAGUGAAAUUGAGUAAUAAUGAUUAAAUUAGUAUAAUUAUUAUGUUUAUAAAUUAUUAAUUGAGAUAAUUAGAUAAGGAAGUGGGGAAAUUAAGAGUGGGGUGUUUAAGAAAAAGAUGUGUUGUUGGUUGAAUUUAUAAGAAGUGUGGGGUGGGGAGUGAUAAUUAUUUAAGGGGGGGGGUAUUUUGAGGGUGGAAAGGUAGGAUAAUGAUUAGUGUUUUAAUAGAGGGGUGGUAUGAAGGGUUUGAGGAGGUGUUGAGUGUGUGAUUUAAUUUGAAUUUAGAAUUUAGGUUUUUAGUGAAAAGGGUAAAAUUUUAUUGGAAGAGGAGAAGAGGGUAUAGAGGUUUAUAUUUAUUUUAUUAAUUAUUUUUUUGUUUAUAUUUAUUUAUUAUUAAAUAAAAUAUUGUGUUGGGGUGAGAAAAAUAUAUAAUUAAGUUUUUUAUUUAAAUUAGAUUAAUAUAUGUAUAAUAGAUGGAAUUUUAUUGAUUGUUAGAAUAAGUUAGGUUAGGGAUAAGAGGGUAAUGUUGGUGGAGAGUUGAUAUUUAGAGGAAGGGUUGGGAGGGGGAUGUUGGAUUAAGAUGAUAAUUAGGUGUAGGGGGUUAAUGUAUAAGGUGUUGGAGGUUUAAAUUGUUAGAU
rnacentral:rRNA from 1 species